CGGAGCUGUGAAGGGAACGGCACCUCCAUACCUUCAGGCUCUGAUCAGGCCCUACACCCAAACAAGGGCACUGCGUUCAUCCACCACUGGCCUGCUGGCCCCCCUACCUCUGAGGAAGCACAGUUCCCGCUCAGCCCAGUCAAAACUGUUCGCUGCUCUGGCACCUCAAUGGUGGAACAAGCUCCCUCACGACGCCAGGACAGCGGAGUCAAUCACCACCUUCCGGAGACACCUGAAACCCCACCUCUUUAAGGAAUACAUAGGAUAAAGUAAUCCUUCUAACCCCCCCCCCCCCUUAAAAGAUUUAGAUGCACUAUUGUAAAGUGGUUGUUCCACUGGAUAUCAUAAGGUGAAUGCACCAAUUUGUAAGUCGCUCUGGAUAAGAGCGUCUGCUAAAUGACUUAAAUGUAAUGUAAAUGUUUGUUGGUAACGGUCGUGAGCAUCAGAUAAAUGCUCGAGCUCUAACAUUAUUGAAAACAGACAACUCUUUUUUUUGAAAAUAUUGUAUCCAGUAUAAGAAAACAUGAAUAUUAUUAUUUUUUUUUUAUAUGAAUUAAUAUAACGAUGGUGCAGUAAAACCGUCCUGUUUUGUUGAUACGGGAUUUCCAUGGUUACUAAAAUUGCGGCGCGUCCUCUGAAGUUGAGUGGCACAUCAAAUGCUUGCUAGUUAGCAAACUAACGUUAGCUCAUUACUUCGAAGUUUGACAAAGAAAAUAACCGGUUGAAAAUACUGAAACGAGUUGCCUAGCUGGUAUCUCUGGCAAUUAUGUAAUAUUUUGAGGCAUUAUCGGACUCGGAGUCUGAACCUGAUGACUCACAGUUCAGUCGAUGAGCCCCAAUUUAGUUCUGAAAGGGACGAUGAGUAAUUGUUACAAUCAACCGAAGUCAUCCAGAAUGGUGGAAAGGGUAAAGGCAUUGAAUUUGGCCGUCAUGUCAACAAACGACAGGCACGGAAAUGUGUUUCUCUCAACUGAGUUUUGCAAACCAAAGAAGAUGGGAGUUGACGUGUCUGUUUUCAUCAGAGAUAAACUAGGCCAAACUGCGAGAUAAACUAGGCCAAACUGCGAGAUUGUAUAAACAUUGGUAUCAGUCAUUCUUGGUAAGUGUCAAUAUUCGCCUCAAAUAUUAAUGAACGAACCUAUUAGCUAAUUAAGCAAUAUGGCACGGGGAGGUGUGGUAACUGGCCAAUAUAAGACUGCUAAGGGCUGUUCUCAUCACGACGCAACGUGGAGUGCCUGGACACAGCCCUUAACCGUGGUAUAUUGGCCAUAUACCACAAACCCCUGGUUACCAACUACCAAUUUGAGCAGUAAAAAUAAAUGUUUUGUCAUAUGCGUUGUAUACGGUCUGAAAUACCACGUCUGUCAGCUGAUCAGCAUUCAGGGCUCGGAACUACCCAGUUCAUACCAACUCCCCCAAAAGAAACUCAGUCCAGCUUUAAACUUACUCUUGAAAGUUGUAAUAGUAGAAUGCACAAGGUGCAAUUUCUAAAUUGGGUAGUGCAUCAUCAGUUCAUCUUGUAAUGUUAGUCAUACCUUAGAGAGCUAUUUAUAGAAAUGUCCAGAUCAACUACCCCUCAGCUAACGUCUUUUUAGCCCAUAGGUAUUGCUGUAAACAUUUUGUUGGUUUUAUCUGUCAGGAUCUGUAUUAUUUCUAUUUCAAGUUCUUCAUCAAAGCACCAUCCUAUUUGUAUUGGCUCCACCUGAUCAUGGAGUACCCUCUUGUGAUCAAUGCUCUGAAGAGGCUCAAUCUGUUCUCAGAGGAAGUGGAGGAGUUGGAACUAUCUGGUAUUACUUUGCUAGCAAGAAUUUAUCAUUUUGUAAAUAUGCAAGUGCAGAUAUUUAUUUAUUUCACCAAACAAAGACAAAGGAGAAACAAUGGCUAUCAAACUUUGCUUUGGCUGGGGUCGUGGAAGCUGCAGGCAUGGUGAUUUGAGCUAUCCAAUUGGCCAGUGCUGUAGGCACACUCAAGAGUUUCUUUUCAGACAAAUGAAAUGGUCCAAAAGGGAAACACUUUGCUUACCCGGUGCGCAGGGCUUCUGAAUCAAGUGAACAUACCGCCAACAGCGCAAAAAAAAUGUAUGUUUGGUGAUCAACUAUGAAUGCCUAGAAGAUCGACCAGUCGAUGACCACUGGUUUGUUGUAAGCCAUGACAAGUAGUGGCAUGAUGGCACAAACAGACAGGUACCCAGGCUAGUUUAUCCCUAUGGUACUCCAUAAAACCAUGGUCUUUGGUAUCUUUGGGGUCCUUUCCAGAGGCAGUUGUCUUGGAGGUGUCAUCAACGUCCUGGGUCUCUUCAACCAUGGAGAGAGCACUUGGGUCAUGUGGACUCCACCGCUGAGGGAGAGCUUCUCCUAUCCCUUCUUUGUCCUGCAGAUGCUGCUGUGAACACACAUUCUCGGGCAUUCCAACCCUGGAGGAAGAUCCCUAGUAAUUAUUGGUGCUUGCAAUGUGUUGUUCCUUCUUCCUUGGCCAUUUGCCCAGUUUGUCUUGCUAACUCAGGUUGCAUGUCUGUUUGCCUGUUAUUUGAUGGGCUUUCUCCACUGCCAAGAUGACGUCACUACUUGUUGUGCACCUGGCUUCACUUGCCAUCUGCUUUAUUAUGUUGUUUGAGAAUUUGGCACUUUGACAUCUUUUUACACUUUUUCCUUGGUUGCUGGUUGGGCCAUCGUCGCACUGAGAGACAAUGUUGCACGAGUCUGCAAACCUGGAAUCGUCACAAUUGCAGUAAUUUAGUUAUAUGCUGGGGUACAUUUGUGAAAUUACAUUCCUCAGAAUUUGACAUUUUUCUGUGACCUUUUUCAAGAGAGAUCUAUUGAAUUCCACUGGUAUGAUAGCAUCCCAUGGGUCUCAACUCUAUACCCCCAAUGUAACACCUGGUAACAUGCAAUUACAUACAGAGUAUUGGGAAAGUAUUCAGACCCCUUCUCUUUUUCCAAAUGUAGUUACAUUACAGCCUUAUUUUAAAAUAGCUGAAAUUAGAUUUUUUUUCUCAUCAAUCUACACACAAUACCCCAUAAUGACAAAGCGAAAAGUUUCUUAGAAAGUUUAGCAAAUGUAUAAAAACAAAACAAAUCUGAAAUACCUUAUUUACGUAAGUAUUCAGACCCUUUGCUAUAAGAUAAGAAAUUUAUCUCAGGUUAAUCCUGUUUCCAUUGUUCAUUCUUGAGAUGUUUCUACAACUUGAUUGGAGUCCACCUGUGGUAAAAUCAAUUGAUAUGACAUGAUUUGGAAAGGCACACACCUAUAUAAGGUCCCACAGUUGACAGUGCAUGUCAGAGCAAAAGCCAAGCCAUGAGGUCGAAGGAAUUGUCCGUAGAGCUCCGAGACAGGAUUGUGUCAAGGCACAGAUCUGUAGAUUGGUACCAAAAAAAUGUCUGCAGCAUUGAUGGUCCCUAAGAACGAAACAUGACAAUUAGAGAAAUAAACCACGUGAGAUUUUUGAGUGAGAAUUAAGACUUUCGAGUAGUAGGACAUGUAUAAAAGCAACAGAUACCAUUAAUAAGAAGCGGCUAGACGCGUCUUAUAUGGUGAGCUACCGAGUGGUUAGGACAGGCAAGCCCCAUACUAUUGCGGAGGACUUAAUUCUUCCUGCUGCCGCAGAUCUGGCUGGGACAAUGCUGGGUGAAAAGGCCCAAAAAAACUAUACAGACAAUGACUUAAAUCAAACUACCCUGUUUCCCGAAGCAUCAGUGACAUGGCAGGAGAUGUUUUGAAACAAUUACUUCUUCGCAUACAAGCCAGUGAAUUCUAUGCGUUACAGCUGGAUGAGUCAACAGACGGGCCUGACACAGCUCCUGGUAUAUGCCCGUUACGUUUAUGGGGGGUCAAUUAAGGAAGACAUCCUCUUCUGGAAACCAGGACAACAUGAGAGGAUAUUUUUAAAGUACUGGACAGCUUUGUGACACCAAAUGGACUUUGGUGGUCAAGAUGUGUUGUAUCUGUACUAAUGGCGAAAAAGCCAUGACAGGGACAAGCUGCAACAUCGAGAGCAUCUUGACUGGUUGCAUCACUGCCUGGUAUGGCAACUGCUCGGCUUCCGACCGCAAGGCACUACAGAGGGUGCCAUCCAGGACCUCUACACCCCCCCCGACCCCUCUUUCAUCUAUGCAUAGUCACUUUAACUAUACAUUCAUGUACAUAUUACCUCAAUCAGCCAGACUAACCGGUGCCCCCGCACAUUGGCUACCCGGACUAUUUGCAUUGUUUCCCCCCACCCGCCAACCCCUCUUUUUACGCUGCUGCUACUCUCUGUUUAUCAUCUAUGCAUAGUCACUUUAACUAUACCUACGUGUACAUAUUACCUCAAUCAGCCCGACUAACCGGUGCCGCCGCACAUUGACUCUGUACCGGUGCCACCUGAAUAUAGCCUCCAACUGUUAUUUUCACUGUCAUUUUACUGUUUAAUUUUUUUUUAAAUUUACUUCUCUAUUGUUUACCUAAUACCUGUUUUUUACUUAAGAAUUGAGCUGUUGGUUAGGGCUUGUACGUACGCAUUUCACUGUAAGGUCUAAACCUGUUGUAUUCGGCGCACUUGACAAAUAAACUUUGAUUUGAUUUGAGGUUGACAUGGUGGAGUGGUAUCGCGCGUGUAAGCAGUUGCUCCCGACGCCACUUGGGUACACUGCAGCAUCCACCGAGAGGCUCUUGCUGCCAGGGCCUUUCAAGCCUGACAGCUUGAAAGACGUUUUGGACACUACAGUGAAAAUGGUUAACUUUGUUAAAGCAAGGUUCCUGAACUCUCGUGUAUUUUCUGCAUUAUGCAAUGAUAUGGGCAGCGACCAUGUAAGGCUUUUACGACAUACAGAGGUGCGCUGGUUAUCAAGGGGCAAAGUAUUGACAAAUAUUUUUGUAAUAGAGAGACGAGCUUAAAGUUUUCUUUACUGACCAUCAUUUUCCCUUGUCUGACCACUUGCAUGAUGAUGAGUUUCUCACACGACUGGCCUAUCUGGGUGAUGUUUUUUCUCGUCUGAAUGAUCUGAAUCUAGGAUUACAGGGACUCUCCGCAACUAUAUUCAAUGUGCAGGACAAAAUUGAGGCUAUGAUUAAGAAGUUAGAGCUCUUUUCUUUCUGCAUUAACAUGGACAACACACAGGUCUUUCCAUCAUUGUAUAAUUUUUUGUGUGCAAAUUAACUCAAUCUUACGGACAAAUGUCAAAUGUGAUAUAGCGAAGCACCUGAGUGAGUUGGGUGCACAGUUACGCAGAUACUUUCCCGAAACGGACGACACAAACAACUGGAUUCGUUAUCCCUUUCAUGGCCUGCCUCCAGUCCACUUACCGAUCGAUAUCUGAACAAGAGAGCCUCAUCGUAAUUGCAACAAGCGGUUCUGUGAAAAUUCAAUUUAAUCAGAAGCCACUGCCAGAUCUCUGGAUAGGGCUGCUCUCAGUUUCUUGCCUUGGCAAAUCGCGUUGUUAAGACACUGCCCUUUGCAACCACGUACCUAUGUGAGAGUGGAUUCUCGGCCCUCACUAGCAUGAAACCCAAAUUCAGGCACAAUUAUUUAAGACAGACUCUCCAAUACAACCCAGCAUUGCAGUCAUGUGCAUCCUUUCAAGCACAACCUUCUUAUUAACCUGUGUUCUGCGAUCUGGGACAUGGAGGAUCAGGAGAAUGGGAAAGUUGUCGCUAUGUACCCUCCUGUCCAUCAACUCCCCACCUCACUUCACCACAAUGUUCGAGAACAAAGUCUACAAAGUGCUGAAAAUCCCCAAAGCUGCCAAAUAUUACCUUUUUAAUAUAG
rnacentral:lncRNA from 1 species